rnacentral:lncRNA from 1 species
AAAUAUCCAACAAAGAAACAUUCGCAAUAAUUUAGCCAUUUAACUAAUAGUUCAUGCUCAAAAUCCUCCAAAGAAAGAUUACAUUCAAUAAAGAACGUUCAAAGUAAAGAUCGAGGCAUUAAAGAACAUUAACAACCUUCUUUAUCAGAUUCUACUAUGUUGUUGAGUGUACCAUUCUCAAUUCUUUACAUAUCAUUGAAAUCUCGAAAGUUUCUCAAUUAUCACAAUAAAUGAAAUUAGCUACAAAGAAAACUUCAAAAGUGGCUAAAAUUGCAUUACGUUUGAAUUGAAGGGACCAUAACUUAUCAUGAAGUGAACUACAACACAAAUUUGAUAUAUGGAGCUAAUAAGAAAUGGCCGCAUCAUAUGAAGAUAAUGUAUUCAACGAUGUAAGAGCCGGCCAUUGAUAGAUACAAGAACAAGUAAUUUCUUAUCUACACAAACUUGUCGUAGGUUUGGAAAUCUUUGAACCAUCUUUGCUAAAUAUGCAUCUGACUGCCACAUCAUGCCUAAGAUUAGGGAUUGGCGACA